rnacentral:misc_RNA from 1 species
AAGAGAUUCAAAUAUAUAUAUAUAUAGGGGAAUUACAACCAAUUACAAAAGUUAGAAAGUUGAUGUUUAAGAAUUACAACCAAUUGCAUCAAAAAGAGCACAACACCAACUGCAAGGAACCAAAAGAUUAGCUCAGAAGGCAAAUACCCACAUAUUGCAUCUGCUAAUCCAUUCCAGCCACCAUCAUUUUCCUACGCCUCAAAUACCCACACCAUGCACAUCCAUGAGAAGGAGACCAACACCUGACGCUGACGCGUAGAAAGGGAAAGC